GAAGUUCUCCCCUUCGGCUCGGCAUAUGGAACCUCUCAGCUACUCCCUCGGGAUAGGUAGGCCCACCCCCCUUCCCCUACUUCUGCAUUUCAUUCUUCUAUUCCUUCCGCUUGCUUUUCUAGUUAAGCUGCUCAUAAACUAGAUCCAUAAAACUCACUCAGCUACUGUCUUCUUUCUAUCUCUUCAGCUGAAGAACUCUCUUUGGGACAAGGGCAUCAUCAAGCAAAGAAAUAGAAGAAGAAGCAGUCAGUAAUGCAAUGCGAGAGAAGUGUCAUGUAGCAAGGUGCCCGGAAUCUAUCGUAUAUCGUAUAUAGGGAUUUUUGAUUGCGAUUUCCUUUUGGGGAUCAGGCCGAUUUGAUGACAGGAAUUUCCUUGUUUGUUGCAGCCUAAGAUUGGGAUUGGCACGUAUGUGGACCACUUUGGCUCCGCCCG
rnacentral:lncRNA from 1 species